rnacentral:rRNA from 1 species
UACGUAGGGUGCGAGCGUUGUCCGGAAUUAUUGGGCGUAAAGAGCUUGUAGGCGGUUUGUCGCGUCUGCUGUGAAAAUCCGGGGCUCAACUCCGGACUUGCAGUGGGUACGGGCAGGCUAGAGUGUGGUAGGGGAGACUGGAAUUCCUGGUGUAGCGGUGAAAUGCGCAGAUAUCAGGAGGAACACCGGUGGCGAAGGCGGGUCUCUGGGCCGAUACUGACGCUGAGGAGCGAAAGCGUGGGGAGCAAACAGG